AUUGAACGCUGGCGGCAGGCCUAACACAUGCAAGUCGAGCGGAGCGGCGGACGGGUGAGUAAUGCCUAGGAAUCUGCCUGGUAGUGGGGGAUAACGUCCGGAAACGGGCGCUAAUACCGCAUACCAUAGGAUGAGCCCAAGUGGGAUUAGGUAGUUGGUGGGGUAAUGGCCUACCAAGCCGACGAUCUCUAGCUGGUCUGAGAGGAUGACCAGCCACACCGGGACUGAGACACGGCCCGGACUCCUACGGGAGGCAGCAGUGGGGAAUCUUCCGCAAUGGACGAAAGUCUGACGGAGCAACGCCGCGUGAGUGAUGACGGCCUUCGGGUUGUAAAGCUCUGUUAAUCGGGACGCGGUACCGGAAUAGAAAGCCACGGCUAACUACGUGCCAGCAGCCGCGGUAAUAC
rnacentral:rRNA from 1 species